UUCACCAGUCCCUCCUGCAGCAAAGCACCCCCACAACAUGAUGCUGCCACCCCCGUGCUUCACAGUUGGGAUGUUGUUCUUCGGCUUGCAAGCCUCCCCCUUUUUCCUCCAAACAUAACGAUGGUCAUUAAGGACAAACAGUUAUAUUUUUGUUUCAUCAGACCAGAGGACAUUUCUCCAAAAAGUACCAUCUUUGUCCCCAUGUGCAGUUGCAAACCAUAGUCUGGCUUUUUUAUGGCGGUUUUGGAGCAGUGGCUUCUUCCCUUUUGAGUGGCCUUUCAGAUUAUGUCGAUAUAGGACUCGUUUUACUGUGGAUACACAUACUUUUGUACCUGUUUCCGCCUGCAUCUUCACAAGGUCCUUUGCUGUUGUUGUGGGAUUGAUUUGCACUUUUCACACCAAAGUACGUACAUCUCUAAGAGACAGAAGGUGUCUCCUUCCUGAGCGGUAUGACAGCUGCGUGGUCCCAUGGUGUUUAAACCUGCGUACUUUUGUUUGUACAGAUGAAUGUGGUACCUUCAGGCAUUUAGAAAUUGCUCCCAAGGAUGAACCAGACUUGUGAAAGUCUACUAAAAAAAUUCUGAGGUCUUGGCUGAUUUCUUUUGAUUUUCCCAUGAUGGCAAGCAAAGAGGCACUGAGUUGGAAGGUAGACCUUGAAAUACAUCCACUGUUACACCUCCAAUUGACUCAAAUUAUGUCAAUUAGCAUAUCAAAUGCUUCUAAAGCCAUGACAUCAUUUUCUGGAAUUUUCCAAGCUGUUUAAAGGCACAGUUAACUAAUGUAUGUAAACUUCUGACCCACUGGAAUUGUGAUACAGUGAAUUAUAAGUGAAAUAAUCUGUCUGUAAACAAUUGUUAGAAAAACGACCUGUGUCAUGCACAAAGUAGAUGUCCUAACCGACUUGCCAAAACUAUAGUUUGUUAACAAGAAAUUUGUGGAGUGGUUGAAAAACUAGUUUUAAUGACUCCAACCUAACUGUAUGUAAACUUCCGACUUUACUAAUUGAGAUAUUCUUAUAAGAUAUUCAAAAACGCACUCACACAUCUGACUUAUCUUGUUGCAGGCACGUGGGAAUAAUGUGAUAACGUCAAAGGAAAAAGAAACCCACACACUGCUCUUGCUCAUCAUUUUUAAAAUCCAAGAUUACAUGAGAUAUUCUAAAAAGACCAUAGCGUUGCUACUAGGUAUGUGUGAUGAGGAGAUGAGUGUGUGGAUCUGUAAACCCAUGGGCCUUCAGCAGGGGCGGGCAUCUUCCUCCUGAAGAACCAGGUUGAUAUCUCAGCCUUUAGACUCAAGCUGCAGAACAUCGCUGAGAGUCAUUGCAACAGGAAGCUGCUUUUUCGCCUGCCCCAGGAAUGCAUCGUGCAGCGGUAUGUCCAGAACACUCUGCUCCUGAAGGCGAGAAAGUUUGACGUGUGCUUCUAUUUCCUCAUUGCCUGCGCCACACCCACACACCUGUUCUUUCACCAUGGUUACCUGCACUUCCUGUGACCUUUAUGACCCCAACCCCCACAACCCCUCUUCCCAUUUGACCAAUAAGAUGAGUAGAAAAAAGAUGCUUCUCUUGCUCGGCUUGCAAAAUUAUUUUGCAUCCCCUGACCUGCAAAUUUAGUAAUAUAACCUGACAUUCACUAUUUUUGAAUCAGGUAGUCAACAGAUGCAUCGCCAUAGAAUACUGCAUGAAAAUAGACCAGAAAGAAACCAGGUCAUAAAAUAAUGGUACCAGUCCACUUUCAACAACUCUCUCUCUCUCUGGCCCAUUCAUGUGUAUCCUGAUCCCCUUGCUGUUUCCCCACAGUACAAGCAGAAGAAAAACCCUCUGUACAGUGUGCUGAAGGAGGAGACCGACUUGUUCAUGGACUGAUUUAACACCUACAUCAAUGACAAGCUCAGGGUUGACAAGGGUCUGCCUAGGGAAUGGGUGCUGGGUACUAGGUAUUUUGACCUGAUUGGGUGACUUCAUGAUUGACGAGAACUUUAAGGCUAAUUGGUUUUUAAUACACAGUGUGUGUGUGGGUUUCAAUGUAUUAGUGAGCAAAACGGCAGUACACUUCCAAGUCCAGCACUCAAAUAGUGCCUCCACUAAAAAAGCUCUCCACCACCAGCAGGACUCAGAAGGCCAAGUCUGUAGCAUCAGUGUCUGGGGAGGUAAUUGUAGAAACAUAGUUUCUCCUACAGUCAUGAUGGCUGUCUCUGAAUCCCUCACUGGCACUGAUACCACUCAACCGCUGCCGACCCUCCUGUCCCUGUCACUACACUUAAUGAUCCAUCCCUGCAGGCUGCUCCCAACCAACCCACAGGCCCAGCAGGCACCCCCAGAGCCCAUCCCACCCCAAAACCCAGUACUCGGCCCCCCAAGCGAGACCGCACUCAGCUGGAGCUCCGGCUCAGCAAUUUCUGGCAGUGGCUCCCGGGGGAACACGCAACACUGCAAGCCCCUAGACCUCCUGCAGGUGAAGAGCACCUUCAUGACCCUUUCCAUUCCGGCUCUGAGUGAAGGCUUUCACCUCUCUGUGCGACGCCUGCCAGUCACCAAAGCCUGCCCCCACGCCCACCCCGACCAGGCCCAGCCCUUCUGCUACUCCGUAAGGCCCAUCCUGUUCCACCUGGCCCAGCCGGCACCAGCUGCCCCGUGUGGACAGACAAACAGGAGAAGGAAGGGGGGCAGGGAAGAGAGGGGGGCCAGGAGCCAGGAGCCAGGUGAAGACACACAGAGCUCAGCCAAGGAAGAGAAAGAUGAGAAAGAGCACACAGAGCUGUGAUAUAUUCACACUGAGACACUCAUUUUGGUUAGUUGGCAGCAAUAUGGAACCUCGUCAUGAAAGGAAUCCCGCUUAGCUUUUCAUUACAGAAAAUCCCUAGAUCAUGUAUGAAAAUAAUAAAGUAUGUUUAUCCUCUGACCAAAACAGAUGAUUCUGUCUUUGACGCUUUGCAUUUUG
ensembl:lncRNA